GUGCUUGCUUCGGCAGCGCAUAUACUGAAAUUUCAAUGAUACAGAGAAGAUUAGCAUGGCCCCUACACAAGGAUGACAUACAGAUUCAUAAAGUGUUCCAUUAAAAAUUUUU
rnacentral:snRNA from 1 species